GCAUCCAGGAUUCAAACCCACAAACCCUGGACCAACGAAGCGGAACAUGUGCACUUAAUCACUGUGCCACCGGGCUGGCCCCUACUAUUCCCAUUUUAUGGAGGCUCAGUAACUUUCCCGAAUCACUCAGCUGUUGAAGCUGGGCUUUGAGCCCUGGCAGUGUGGAUCCCAAGUCCGUGCUCUGGACUCCAAUGCUACUCUUAAUGGUCAAAUAUUGUCCGGUAGGUUUUCUGCUGGAAAUUUGAGGGUUAACUUCUCUGAGGAGCUCAACAAUCAUAUGGGAUUUUUAAAUGUCUAACUCCAGCCAGGUAGUACACUGAGGAGGUAAUGAAAAAUUAAAAGCUUUUUUUUUGGCUGAGCACUAAUCUUUGUGGUUAUAGAUGUAUCUCUGUGCCGGAGAGUACGGCACUUUAGAUGGUGUUAACAUAAAGUUGGGGUACUGUUUAAAGCUGACAGCUCCGUGUGUCUCAUGUGUUUUCUGAAAGUAAUUUUAAAGAUAAGACUUUACUCUCAAAUGUGAAAUGGAUUCUUUAAAGAUUUCCAACACCAUACAGUAUUUAUGUAAUUGUAUCGUUAUAUGGGGAAAAACUAUAGUGCCAGGAGGAGAAGAGUGUCUUAAUCAUAAAAUACUGUAUUGUCAGAAACGAAACAAAAUGUAAGCAAAGAAAUGUGAACCACACCGUGUCAGUGAGAAUUCUUGGCAUUUAAUUUUAGAAGCCAUUUUGCAUGGAAAUGAAUAAAGUAUAAACACAGUACUUUAUCUAGGAUAUGACAAGAAACUUCAAGAUUGUAAUGUGCAUUAAGAUAACAUUCCAAACCUAUCCUUUCAAGUUUUCAGCCAAGAAUUUGUUUUUAUAAUUUCUUUGCAGUUGGCAAACAGCUAGGCUCUCCCUGAGGUAUCAGUUUUCGUGCGGACGGUCCCAAUCCCAUUGUGUGUAACUGUUAACUUGCUGUGUGACCUUGACUGGAUCACUCCCUCCACCCCAGCCCAACUGAAGGGGCCGAGUCUCUCCGGCUCUGUCUGGUUUCAAAGUCCUGUCGUUCUGGCCUCUGGAUCAAGACAUAAACACCACGAAAAGCACUUGCUAGAGAGACUGGAUUUUUAAAACCUGGGCCACUUAAGGAUGUUUAAAGGAUCAGUCUAACAGCCAGCUAUGAAGAGAACAUAAACCGUGGCGGCCAGACCCUCCGGGGUUCACAGAAACAGUCCAUGUGCUUCUGGGACUCCCUGACAUGAACAGGGUCUGAGAGAGUCUGGGCAAAAGAGGCAGAGGUCACAGCCACCAUGAUGCACGAGACGACCUCGGACGCCCUCCGGAGCUGCAGAGAGGUGCCGACCCUGUGAGACACUGCCGGACCCUCCUCAAGGGCUUGUGCCUCGGCUGUGGGGCCUGAGGGCUGCUGAUGGUUCUUCAGGGGAGACCCUCUCUGGAGAGAGCCUGUGGCUGAAGAGAGCUGCUGUGCCACCCAGGGCUGCCGAUUCCAUGGAAGGGUCAGCCCUGGCCCCGGGGGGGCCAACUCCAACGUGUCCUGACAGUCCAGGGCUCUGGCGGCGUCUCCCCUGAUGUCCCCUGAGCACUACCCAGUAGACCUCCCGUCUCAGGGGCUGGGGGAUCCAGACCUGCCCCCGAAACUUACAGACCCCGGGCUCCGCUUACUUCUAACUCUGGGUCCAGGAGUAAAUUUCCUCUUCAGUAAAAUGGGAAUAAUAACAAUUAUAAUAAUUGUUUAUUGUAAGAAAAUGAGGAAAUGAAUCCAAAAUACAUAGUAAAUGAUUCAUAGCAAUAAUUUAACAUUUAUUGAGCACUUAUUAUGUGCCAGGUGCUAUUUUUUGUACUUGUUCACACAAGAACCCUAUGAGGAAGAUAAUAUCCCUAUUUUACAGAUGAGAAAACUGAGGAACAGAGACAUUAAAUACCUUAUCCAAUAUCACACAGCUAAUGACACAGUCAAGAAUUCAAACCCAGACAGCUGGAUUGCAGAACCAGCAUUCUUAGCUGAAACGGUGUUGCUGCCCAUGGAUAAAGGCAAAUUUUUAAAAUACUUGGAGAUGAUAAACAAAAGCUCAAUGGUGUCACCUGAUUCCAGAAGUACAUUUAAAACAAGGGAAUUAUAAGAGAAAAAUUUUACAAAGAAUUUCUGUGCUUCUGUUGUUUAUAUUUUUGCAUUGCUGUAGAUGAUGGUUAUUUUUGCAUCAGAUCAACCCUUUUUCAUCAAGAGAGUGAAUGAGCCAGUUGGAGGGGAGGGGCUGUAGUCUGAGGUGACAGUGGCUGUUCUGUGAGAUAAUUUGUUUUUGUUGUUUCUAUUUCAAUGAAACAUGUACUAAGUACAAGAUCAAAGAAUUUAAAAGCAGUGACAUGUUCACUAUUAGGUAGUAAUUUUAUAUACUAAGGGGGUUUAGGUUAUAUCAUAUUUCCUACAAUUUCAAAUGUCUCCCUCUCCUGGGUGACUGGGAAGUCAUCGAUCAUCACGGGAAGAGGGAUCGAGACAAAGGCCCUGCUGGCCUCGUCCCCGGUUUGCCUAGUGCUCCGUUCAGAGGGGUUGUCUGUUACCACCAACGGGAGGCAGUAGUUCCACAUUUCGCUCCCAAUCUGAACGGGUAUGUACCAUAACUUUCAUCUUGGGGUGGUGUGGUGACCCCUGUUAUCCUCUAAGUUCAGGGAAGUCUCUUUUACUCUUUACAGCACAAGUCUGUUAAAGUUUUUAUGAUUUGCAAACAAAGCGGUUUUUCAUCUUCUGCUAUUUGAUAACGAAGGUAAAAGAAAAUUCCUUCUACACCAAAUAAAUUAAACUUCUCAAUAAUUUACAGCUCCGGGCAUGUUUGCCAGACUAGCAUAACUGAAUAAAGUCAACAGACUAAACGUUCCCCUGGCAAUCGGCGAGGGUAUGAGAGACAGCACCUGGGCCGCCCCACGGGUCUCGUUAUUAAAUCACAGGCCAGAGCUUGGAAUCCAGGGUCCCCAGGGACAGGUCGGAGCUGACUGUGGAGGACGGAGCUUCUGUCCCCCUGGUGUCAUUCCUGUGAAUUUAGGAAGCGGAAAACUCUCAGAACAACGGAGAGAGAAAGAGAAAGGGAGAGGAGAGGGAGGGAAGGUGGAGGGAGAGAGAUGGGGGAGGGGGAGAGUCUGCACGUUUCUUAGGGGGAAGAUUCUAGUUACUUAUAUGUCACUAAAUUGGGGAUUCAUCAACAGAACAGUGUAUAUUUCCACGAUCUCGGAGCAAAAGUGAAAAAGAGUUAGGGAACAUUUUGCAACUGGAACCACUAUUUAUCACUGUCAAGAUCAGAACGAGGACUAGCUAGAAAAACACCCAGUGCUUCCCUCUCGCUAAUUCCUGGGUCUGACCACCACCUGCCUUUGCCCAGAGGAGGAAGGGCUGUCUGUGAGCUGACGCAACAACAGAGGAGCAUCCGAGUGCAGGAUCCCGAGUCACACGUGGCACCUGGUCUACUUCUCGGGAAGGUUUCACACGCUGGAAACCAGCCAUCUCAUCUUUAACAAGUGGAACUUAUCAAAGUAUGGUUUCAAAUUUGCACAUUUGAUGAUGGGAGGGCUCACAUGAUCAGUGGAAAGUUGGGGGGAGAAGCAAAUAUAUGUUUAGUCAGUGGAUAUCCCAUUGUUCGAUCAUAUUCACUGCACCCAGGAGACAAACAGGGUCCCAUUAAAAACAGUAAAUACCUCUCUCUCCUCUAUAAAGCUCUCGUGGGAACCUAAGUGCUGUCAGGAAAUACGAGGGGCAGAACUACGCUCACACUUAACUGCCGUUGGCGCAGCUUCUCUGGAGAAGAAUGGGAGGGGAGAAGAAAGGCCACUCCAGGAAGAAAGGGUGGAAGAGGAGCUCCCAGGCCUGGCUUAUGAGUGUGGCCUUGAACACGUCCACAGACGUGUUGUUGUCCUGUUGAGUCUGCAGCCAGGAAGGCGGAACUCACUGCAGAGGGCAGGUGUGAACGUGCCACUUCAGAGCCAGUGCUCUUUGAAGACGGAAAGUCAAGGACCCCAGUCCCUUCCAGGAAACAAGGACAUAAUUAUCACAACACCCAACUGGCCGGUGACCUUCAUUCCUCAGGCCCGCCCUACUCCCUCUGCUGGCACCAGCCCAGGUCCCCACAGCCUGAGCCCUGUGUCCAGACUGCUGAGAUCCAGAAGCAGCCCCCUUGCACACCCUUUGAAAGGGUUCUUAAUCUCUUUCUACUACGCUGCUCUCCCAACAUAAAUCCGCCAGCCUAGGGGCCUCUGAACCCCCGCGAAGGGAGGCCCAUCCAGGCCAGAAGUCUGAGCCGCGGAGGCGUGGAAUUUAUGCUUCCUCUCACCUGCGUGUCUGUCUGUGGCCCCGACUCCAGUCUGUUGUUGGAGGUUUGAACAUAACCUCCCAGCUCCUUGCCAAGUCUGCCAUCAUCACCUCAGCCACAGAAGCUGACUCCUCAAGGCCACUGGAAGCCACUUCAUUAUUAUGUUUGAAAUGUUGAAAGCAGGAGCCUAAUAAAAUGAGUUCAGAAAAACAAAAA